UUGGUCGUUGCACCAGUCGCGCACCUAAUGAUCUAAGUAAGCUGCUUGAGAUCUGCAAAUUGCAGUGGUAGGGAGAGCGGCUAGACGGCAGAUAUGCUUGGGAGGAGGAGAGGUGGAUCGUCACCCAGGCCGCAUGAACCCAGCACCGGGGCGGCCGUCACUGCUGGAAACGGGCAGGGGGCGAACGUUUCGCAGUUCAUCACGCAGCUAGAUGAGUCGGUGACGAAGAGGCUGCAUCGCAUGAAUCAGAGGCUGGGGCUGCUUGAGCAGCAGAUGGAGACACUGGAGGCUGACGUUGCAAAGGCGAGCGGUGAUUCUGAAAUCUUAGAAGGUUGCAGCUGAAAUAACUGAUUGCCUUAAGCGACUCUCCGGGAGAGUUUAGAUGAUAGCAUCAGUGACUUCUUUUUUUUUGCGUGGGAUAGCAUCAGUGACUUCGUUUGUGACUGAGGCGAGCACUAUGGCAGGAUCUUUCACGUCGUUUUGGAUGCUUCAAUACUUCAGUUAUAGUCAGGCGACCACUGUUGUUGAAAUUGCAAUUUUGACCUCUUCCUGGAGGAUUCGAUACUUCAGUUA